AAGUCGUAACAAGGUUUCCGUAGGUGAACCUGCGGAAGGAUCAUUAAAAGAUAUAGCAUAUUCUUCUGAAUAUACUUUAUUAACCCAUUCCGAGUACCUUACCCGUUGCUUCCGCGAGGCUGUCCUCACGGCCCUCUGAAGAUUUAUCUUUGGGGAGUCCUUGCGGAAGGUAUACAAUAAACUCUUGCACUACCAUGUCAUCUGUCUGAAUCUGUUUAAAACAAAUAUUAAAACUUUCAACAACGGAUCUCUUGGUUCUC
rnacentral:misc_RNA from 1 species